rnacentral:piRNA from 1 species
AUCACAGGAUAAUGUCUACUGCGGGUAGUGU